GACGGGGGGUCCUAGCGUUGUUCGGAAUCAUUGGGCGUAAAGCGCACGUAGGCGGCUUUGUAAGUUAGAGGUGAAAGCCCGGGGCUCAACUCCGGAAUUGCCUUUAAGACUGCAUCGCUAGAAUUGUGGAGAGGUAAGUGGAAUUCCGAGUGUAGAGGUGAAAUUCGUAGAUAUUCGGAAGAACACCAGUGGCGAAGGCGACUUACUGGACACAUAUUGACGCUGAGGUGCGAAAGCGUGGGGAGCAAACAGG
rnacentral:rRNA from 1 species